GAUGAAGAACGCAGUGAAAUGCGAUAAGUAAUGUGAAUUGCAGAAUUCAGUGAAUCAUCGAAUCUUUGAACGCACAUUGCGCCCCUUGGUAUUCCGAGGGGCAUGCCUGUUCGAGCGUCAUUAUAACCCUCAAGCUCAGCUUGGUGUUGGGGCCUGCUGCAGUGGCAGCCCUUAAAAUCAGUGGCGGCGCCAUCUGGCUCUAAGCGUAGUAAUUCUUCUCGCUAUGGAGUCCUGGUGGAUGCUUGCCAUCAACCCCCAAUUUUACUAUGGUUGACCUCGGAUCAGGUAGGGAUACCCGCUGAACUUAAGCAUAUCAAUAAGCGGAGGA
rnacentral:misc_RNA from 1 species